rnacentral:pre_miRNA from 1 species
AUAAUACUCCCUCCGUCCGGAAUUACUUGUCAUCAAAAUGGAUGUGUCUAGAACUAAAAUACAUCUAGAUACAUCCAUUUCAAUGAUAAGUAUUUUCGGGCGGAGGGAGUAGUAG